GCUCGAUUCUAUGAAAAGAAAUUAUGCACACACAAGCUUCACAGUGAGCAUGCUGAAUGAUUGAGCAAAUACAUGAGAGAAUAAGAGAGGAAUGAGAUGAAAAGAAGCGUUCAAAUCAAAAGAAACCAGACAAAAUGGCGAUUUUUUACG
ensembl:ncRNA T04H1.11 ncRNA